AUUAUUAUGCAAAACGACGCCGUAUAGGAUGGAAAAGUGCUUUAAAUAGGGGUGGGUGGCUCACCGAACCCUUAAGUACCGGUCACAUGAAGAGCCGAUUUUUUUAAUAACCAACCGCACGCCGUCCACAAACCGACCUACGACGACGACUCCUCCGAUGACUCCGUUGCUGAGCUCUCUCUUUUUAUCUUCUUUUUUCUUUUUGGGUCUCAAAUUUUCUUCAUAAGUCGCCUCAACUAAUCUCAUUUACUUUCUUCACUCCUUCAUUGAAUGCUGGAAUUUAAAGGAGGAGCUCUUUCCUGCAAAAGUAGGUGAGCAUUGUUUAGAGAGAGAGAGAGAGAGAGAGAGAGAGAGAGAGAGAGAGAGAGAGAGAGAGAGAGAGUGGUUUUGGGUUUUGUAUGGCUAAAUCAAAGUGUAUUAAGUUUCUAAGUGAUGGUUAUAGUCGUAAUAAACAGAGAUUUCUGUGGUGUAUAGUUCGCUUUUACCUAAAGCCUUCAACGACCUCUGAUGGCAUUUAAUGGUAGUGUUAAUAUAGCUGGUUUGUGAGGAUAUCACCAGGUAUAUAUAUACACAAGGAGAGAGAGAGAAAGUCAUGAAAAAUUCAACCAUGGUCUGGCCCCCCAUAUUGAU
rnacentral:lncRNA from 1 species